GCCUGCCUUCCUUCCUCGAGAGAGAGACGAAGGGAUCUGCCCGCUCUCUGCCCCGCCUCUUCGGGGAUCUGGUGACAGGAGAUUGCUGGCAAGACCUCUUCCUCCAUCUUUUCUUGGUGGCAGUGGGGAAGCAGCAGCUGUAGAAGCAGAUCAGAGUUCACUGUCCUUUGAAGACACAGCUGUUCAUUUUCUGGGUGAGCAGUGGGCGUUGCUAGAUUCUGACUAGAGAGCUCUGCAAAGGGAAGCUAUAGUCAAGAAUUGUGGGAUCAUGGCCUCUCUUGGUAAGGCGGGAAACUACAAAUCAGUUCAUAGUAGACAAUCUUUAUACUGGCUAAGAGGAGGACCUUUCUCUCUUUUUU